GCAUAUCUUUGGAUGGUCGCCGCGACGGCGAGGAUGGACUGCAACUCCCAGCCCCUAAUCGAUAUGGCAGGCAUAUUCUGCUCGUGCGAUGCGCCGCAACCGAUCACCAUGGCAGCAGUUAGGGAUGGUGCGUCUGAUUCAACAACAAUGGAUGAACUCCCAGCAUCGUCCAUAAAUCAACAUUGAGAUUGCCUCCCAAUCUAGCCACCAAGAAACUCACCUCACUUGCUCAGUUAUUUUUGUGGAAAAUGCUACCAACGCAGAACAGCAACGGAACAACACGACAGAUGGAGGUUCAGGUGCAGCUGAACUGCUGAAGGCAACAAUAGGUUGCAAACUCUAAUGAUUGAGGAAGAAUUUGCUACGCCAAAAAAGAAAGCCAGCAUUCUUCUAUUUUGCUGGUCUUUUAAACCAAGAUGCGACGAGAAAUUGAAGCCUAAAGUGGGGAGGACAUUUGAAGGGCUUGAGACCGUGGAGGAGUUAUACAAGUCAUAUAGACAUCAUGUGUGUUUUGGAGCUCGUGUUGGACAGCAGAAAAAGUUGAACAAUGUGGU